rnacentral:misc_RNA from 1 species
AAAUGCGAUACUUGGUGUGCAUUGCAGAAUCCCGUGAACCAUCGAGUUUUUGAACGCAAGUUGCGCCCGAAGCCAUCCGGCUGAGGGCACGCCUGCCUGGGCGUCACGCAUCGCGUCGCUCCCCACCAUACCUCCCCAACGGGUUGGCAUGGUGUUGGGGGCGGAUAAUGGCCUCCCGUGCUUGUGUUUCGGUUGGCCUAAAUAAGAGUUCCCUUCGGCGGACACACGACUAGUGGUGGUUGAAUAGACCCUCGUCUUUUGUUGCGUGUCGUGAGCUGUAAGGGUAGCCCUCAUCAAAGACCCCAUUGUAUCGUCUUCGGAUGAUGCUUCGACCGCGACCCCAGGUCAGGCGGGACUACCCGCUGAGUUUAAGC